rnacentral:lncRNA from 1 species
AAGUUUCAUAUAUUUAGAUUUGAGUCCAGAAAGGAGAUCUAGGGCCUAAAAAUUUAAUUUAAUUAUCCAAUUGAUGGGUCGGAGGUGUCUAUAGCUCUAUAUCAUCAAAUUAAAUAUGUAAAAAUAAUCUAUUCAAGAAUCGAAAGAGUAUAUCAAAAGAUAUGCCUUCAUAUCGAAAGAUACGUCUCUAUAUUGAAACUUACUAAUAUUGUUUUAUUUUUUUCAUUAUAGGAUGCUGGGACAUCUGGCUCUCAUCCACAAGCUGCU